AUUGCUUCUCGGCCUUUUGGCUAAGAUCAAGUGUAGUAUUUGUUCUUAUCAGUUUAAUAUCUGAUAUGUUCUCUAUCCGAGGACAAUAUGUUAAGUGGAAUUUUGGAGCUGGGAGCUGGACUAGGAGCUUGCUCCGUCCACUCCGCAAAUCGCCCUGGUAAUGCAGUAGAAUGGGAGGAUGCUACUGACCCUCA
ensembl:snRNA U2 U2 spliceosomal RNA